rnacentral:rRNA from 1 species
GACGAACGCUGGCGGCGUGCUUAACACAUGCAAGUCGAACGGAAAGGCCCUGCUUUUGUGGUGUGCUCGAGUGGCGAACGGGUGAGUAACACGUGAGUAACCUGCUCUUGACUUUGGGAUAACUUCAGGAAACUGGGGCUAAUACCGUAUAGCAGCUCCUGCUCCAUGGUGGGGGUUGGAAAGUUUCGGCGGUUGGGGAUGGACGCGCGGCUUAUCAGCUUGUUGGUUGGGUAGUGGCUUACCAAGGCUUUGACGGGUAGCCGGCUUGAGAGGGUGACCGGCCACAAUGGGACUGAGAGAGGGCCCAGACGCCUACGGGAGGCAGCAGGGGGGAAUAUGGCACAAUGGGCGGAAGCCUGAUGCAGAAACGCCGCGGGCGGGAUGACGGCCUUCGGGUUGUAAACCGCUUUCGCCUGUGACGAAGCGUGAGUGACGGUAAUGGGUAAAGAAGCACCGGCUAACUACGUG